UUACACUACAAAGCACCCAACUUACACUUGGGAGACGUUGCUUCAACCCCCCUGAG
rnacentral:tRNA from 1 species